CCUACGGGGGGCUGCAGUAAGGAAUAUUGGACAAUGGGGGCAACCCUGAUCCAGCCAUGCCGCGUGAAGGAUUAAGGCCCUAUGGGUCGUAAACUUCUUUUAUAAGGGAAAAAACCCCUUUACGUGUAGAGGGUUGAUGGUACUUUAUGAAUAAGGGUCGGCUAACUUCGUGCCAGCAGCCGCGGUAAUACGAAGGACCCGAGCGUUAUCCGGAUUUACUGGGUUUAAAGGGUGCGUAGGUGGACCUGUAAGUCAGUGGUGAAAGCCCGAAGCUCAACUUCGGAACUGCCAUUGAUACUGCUUGUCUUGAGUAUAGUUGAGGUAGGCGGAAUAUGUCAUGUAGUGGUGAAAUACUUAGAUAUGACAUAGAACACCGAUUGCGAAGGCAGCUUGCUAAGCUAUAACUGACGCUGAUGCACGAAAGCGUGGGGAGCAAACAGGAUUAGAUACCCGGGUAGUC
rnacentral:rRNA from 1 species